UUUCAGAUUGAGUUAUAACUUUGUCUGCAUUUACCGAAGAAUAAUUUUCCGGAUUUGAAAUAAUUUUACACAAAAGUCUUUCAAAAUUGGAAGGCAACCUCACGGUGGGCUCCCUUAUUACCAGCAUUUGAGAUCUACACAAACGUCUUUCAACGUGUAACUUGUAAGCACCUCACGGUUAGCUCGCUUAUUAUCAGCAUUUGAGACGAAGUAUCGACGAAAUGCUCGUGCUCGAACGGCCUUAUGUGAGUCGUGAGCAGGAUUCUUGACAUUAUGUACAACCGUUAUUUUUGGGAUGCUUGUUUUACGUAGCGCAGUUUCCUUUUAACGACUGCGAUAAAACUGGACACUAUAGCGGAGAUCCACGAAGAAAAUCUAACGUGUCCAGUGCGCUGGUUGUGCAAUAGAAGAAUCGAAUGUGGCGGACAUUGAACAUGCUGCGAAACUGGAAGACCAGUCGGUGUUGCAUAUAUACGUUUCAACUCAUGAUAACAUCGGUGCUUCCUGCGCUUCCCACAAUGAUCUGCUUGAUUAGGUCGCGGCUCUUGAUACCUAUGUGAAUACUCAACUGUUAAGGGCUUGCUUUUACCGCAUUCCCCGAAAGGUACCAAUGCGCUGCGACCGAUGUAAUUGCAAAAUUUGGUGAUGAGGAACAGCGAAAUAUAUUAGCGCUUUAAGGUUUUCAAGGACCACUGGAAUUCUCUCUCGGGUCUAUUCGAGAAGGUAUAACGGAGUGCUAGUGGCGUACCGAAAACACGGCAGUUCCCAAAGGCCCCCUGGACAGUUGGUUUUAUCUACACGGAGCAACAUCGUCCGGAAAAAUUGUGAGUUUUUUCAGUACGUCGUAGUGGCUUCACUGGCUAACAUUUGUACGAGUAUGAAGUCUCUACAACUGCGAAGUUUAAU